UGAACCUUGUGAUGUGUCACUGAUUGUACUAGAAAUUAGUUUAUGUAUGUUGAGUUUUAAUGUCUCUUGAAUGAUGAACGAUGUGCUGAGAAUUUCCUGUGAACUAUUAUUGAGUAUGUUGUCUUGCUGGAAUUGAACUUGUUGAUGGGGUGAAAUGGGUCAUACUAUUUAAUAGGCAAUAAUUUAAGUGAAACUGGUGCUUUUGAAUGGGUUUAAAGGAAGUGAGCAGGUGAUUUUGAGCAAUUGAGGUAUGGGGUGUAAGAGGGUUGUUGGGACAGUUUAGAGGAGUCAUUUGAGACUUAUUAGAAGUGCCAAAAUGGUCAAAAACGCAUUCUAAAUGGUAAAUCAAGAAUUAAGUCUCUAGGUUGAUAAAAUUGAGGUUUUUGGGAGUAAAUUGGUGCAUAAUUACUUUAUAAUGAUGUUAGGAGCACCUAGAACCACUUAGACAAGUUAAAUAUGUAUAUACUACGAUCUAGGACCAUUAAAAGUUAAGGAAACUGUCUAGAAUGAGUUUUGGGGAGUUGGGUUGCAUAAAUCUGAAGAAUUUCAUUCUACAGAUUAUGCAGACUCGUUGUGCGAGAGGAUUCACACAACAAGUUGCCCUGGCGAGAAGUUCUCUGCCAGGGCAUUCGCAU
rnacentral:lncRNA from 1 species